UAGAUCAAUGAUGACUACUGGUGGCGUAUGAGUCAUAUACGAUGAAUACGCGUCUAGAACUCUGAGAUCCAA
ensembl:snoRNA SNORD114-18 small nucleolar RNA, C/D box 114-18